GAUGAACGCUAGCUACAGGCUUAACACAUGCAAGUCGAGGGACCGGCGCACGGGUGAGUAACACGUAUCCAACCUGCCCUUUACUCGGGGAUAGCCUUUCGAAAGAAAGAUUAAUACCCGAUAUAAAGUAUGUGGAUGCGUUCCAUUAGGUUGUUGGUGAGGUAACGGCCCACCAAGCCUUCGAUGGAUAGGGGUUCUGAGAGGAAGGUCCCCCACAUUGGAACUGAGACACUGUCCAAACUCCUACCGGAGGCAGCAGUGAGGAAGAUUGGUCAAUGGGCGUUAUCCUGAACCAGCCAAGUAGCGUUAAGGAUGAAGGCUUAUGGGUCGUAAACUUCUUUUAUAUAAGAAUAUGUAUUAUAUGAAUAAGGAUCGGCUAACUCCGUGCCAGCAGCCGCGGUAAUAC
rnacentral:rRNA from 1 species